ACGCUGGCGGCGUGCCUAAUACAUGCAAGUCGAACGGCUUUUCUAUGGAAGCUUGCUUCCACUGAGAAGAUAGUGGCGAACGGGUGAGUAACACGUGGGUAACCUGCCCAUAAGAGGGGGAUAACAUCCGGAAACGGGUGCUAAUACCGCAUAGUUUUCUUGAUCGCAUGAUCGGGAAAGGAAAGACGGCCUUUGUGCUGUCGCUUAUGGAUGGACCCGCGGCGUAUUAGUUAGUUGGUGAGGUAACGGCUCACCAAGACGAUGAUACGUAGCCGACCUGAGAGGGUGAUCGGCCACAUUGGGACUGAGACACGGCCCAAACUCCUACGGGAGGCAGCAGUAGGGAAUCUUCCGCAAUGGACGAAAGUCUGACGGAGCAACGCCGCGUGAGUGAAAGAAGGUUUUCGGAUCGUAAAACUCUGUUGUCAGAGAAGAACAAGUUGGAGAGUAACUGCUCCAGCCUUGACGGUAUCUGACCAGAAAGCCACGGCUAACUACGUGCCAGCCGCGGC
rnacentral:rRNA from 1 species